UGCUUUCUUUUACCCCUAAAAUC
rnacentral:piRNA from 1 species